rnacentral:lncRNA from 1 species
CUCAGAUCAAUAAACAGAGUUUGUUCUUCACUGCUCUCACCUGGCCCGUGAUUCUUUCUCUCUUCACACUCUGCCGGCAUCAUACCACAGCCGGGGACGCAGGCUCUCCUGGCACUAGAUUGUAACUACAAGCCUUGCUUUGGUAAAGCCGACACGGACUUAAUUUCUGAAUCUGGAGUAUGCUUCCUCUGCUGGCCUGAUGCCCACCCUCCUCCAACCUCCAGCAGCCCACCACCUUGCCACAUCGG